CAUGGCUCAGGACGAACGCUGGCGGCGUGCUUAACACAUGCAAGUCGAACGGAAAGGCCCUGCUUUUGUGGGGUGCUCGAGUGGCGAACGGGUGAGUAACACGUGAGUAACCUGCCCUUGACUUUGGGAUAACUUCAGGAAACUGGGGCUAAUACCGGAUAGGAGCUCCUGCUGCAUGGUGGGGGUUGGAAAGUUUCGGCGGUUGGGGAUGGACUCGCGGCUUAUCAGCUUGUUGGUGGGGUAGUGGCUUACCAAGGCUUUGACGGGUAGCCGGCCUGAGAGGGUGACCGGCCACAUUGGGACUGAGAUACGGCCCAGACUCCUACGGGAGGCAGCAGUGGGGAAUAUUGCACAAUGGGCGGAAGCCUGAUGCAGCAACGCCGCGUGCGGGAUGACGGCCUUCGGGUUGUAAACCGCUUUCGCCUGUGACGAAGCGUGAGUGACGGUAAUGGGUAAAGAAGCACCGGCUAACUACGUGCCAGCAGCCGCGGUGAUACGUAGGGUGCGAGCGUUGUCCGGAUUUAUUGGGCGUAAAGGGCUCGUAGGUGGUUGAUCGCGUCGGAAGUGUAAUCUUGGGGCUUAACCCUGAGCGUGCUUUCGAUACGGGUUGACUUGAGGAAGGUAGGGGAGAAUGGAAUUCCUGGUGGAGCGGUGGAAUGCGCAGAUAUCAGGAGGAACACCAGUGGCGAAGGCGGUUCUCUGGGCCUUUCCUGACGCUGAGGAGCGAAAGCGUGGGGAGCGAACAGGCUUAGAUACCCUGGUAGUCCACGCUGUAAACGGUGGGUACUAGGUGUGGGGUCCAUUCCACGGGUUCCGUGCCGUAGCUAACGCUUUAAGUACCCCGCCUGGGGAGUACGGCCGCAAGGCUAAAACUCAAAGGAAUUGACGGA
rnacentral:rRNA from 1 species